UACGGAGGGUGCAAACGUUGCUCGGAAUCAUUGGGCGUAAAGCGCACGUAGGCGGCCUGAUAAGUCGGGUGUGAAAGCCCUGGGCUCAACCCAGGAAGUGCACUCGAAACUGUCAGGCUUGAAUAUGGAAGAGGGUCGCGGAAUUCCCGGUGUAGAGGUGAAAUUCGUAGAUAUCGGGAGGAACACCGGUGGCGAAGGCGGCGACCUGGGUAGAUACUGACGCUGAGGUGCGAAAGCGUGGGGAGCAAACAGG
rnacentral:rRNA from 1 species